rnacentral:misc_RNA from 1 species
CUUGUGGAUCCUCAUAAUCACUAGAAGAUGCUAGGAAACUCGGAGGUGCCGGUCGACGUAUUGACCACAAGAAUCGAUAACCGCUAUGCUCUAGUGCACAAGCAAUCUCUUUCACUUGAUUCUCCCUAAAGCUCCCCUUGCUACCAAAGCACAAGAAUACUACUGACAAUGGAGGCUGAUCAUCAAGCCAGUGCAUGAUUUCCUUGUGACUGUUUCUUCCAUCUAACCCCACAUCUAAAAUAGGUCCCAUAGGGUAAACAGGAGGCAUUUUUAAAGACUCAAUCGCAUAGGAUUCCAACUCCAAGAAUGUAUUUCCUAUAAUACCCUUAGCUUCUCUAAACCUUCUCGUGUUGUCAAGCAUAAAAGGAAACCACUCUUUGCUCAACAAUGCAGAAGGCAUAACCCUACCGGGAAAUGGGUUUACCAAACUUGGCACUUUCAACUCAGCAUCUGAGUCCUUGAACUCAGUGGGGUCAAAUUUCUCUUCAUCAUAAAUCUUUUGCACAUAAAGCAUGAAGCCAAGAAAAGCUGCGCCCGAUGUAAAGAAAAUGUAACACGGAACCCCAAAUUCAUUAGCCACAUCUAUCAUCGACGAGCAGAAUGUAUCAACGACAAAACCUAC